rnacentral:tRNA from 1 species
CCGGGCGUUCCACAGCGGCUAUAUCGGCUUGUUUUGGAAACAAGUGUUCGCAGGUUCGAAUCCUGCUGCCCGGACCA